UUAGGGAAUCUUCGGCANUGGACGGAAGUCUGACCGANCAACGCCGCGUGANUGAAAAAGGUUUUCGGAUCGUAAAGCUCUGUUGUAAGAGAAGAACGAGUGUGAGAGUGGAAAGCUCACACUGUGACGGUAUCUUACCAGAAAGGGACGGCUAACUACGUGCCAGCAGCCGCGGUAAUACGUAGGUCCCGAGCGUUGUCCGGAUUUAUUGGGCGUAAAGCGAGCGCAGGCGGUUAGAUAAGUCUGAAGUUAAAGGCUGUGGCUUAACCAUAGUACGCUUUGGAAACUGUUUAACUUGAGUGCAAGAGGGGAGAGUGGAAUUCCAUGUGUAGCGGUGAAAUGCGUAGAUAUAUGGAGGAACACCGGUGGCGAAAGCGGCUCUCUGGCUUGUAACUGACGCUGAGGCUCGAAAGCGUGGGGAGCAAACAGGAUUAGAUACCCUGGUAGUCCACGCCGUAAACGAUGAGUGCUAGGUGUUAGACCCUUUCCGGGGUUUAGUGCCGCAGCUAACGCAUUUAAAGCACUCCGCCUGGGGAGUACGACCGCAAGGGUUG
rnacentral:rRNA from 1 species